rnacentral:sRNA from 2 species
GCGCGCGUAACUUUCUCGCAUUAGGUUGCAAGGGGGAAGGGAAUGAGUCCCUUCCGGUUGCGUCGUGCGGAAGG